GACCCAGCGACCGAACUGUCACCGUAUGGUGGCGUGCCCGGGGUUUCCCGGGAUAGGAGCUGGGUCGAAC
rnacentral:sRNA from 1 species